rnacentral:rRNA from 1 species
GACGAACGCUGGCGGCGCGCCUAACACAUGCAAGUCGAACGAGCGAGAGAGAGCUUGCUUUCUCGAGCGAGUGGCGAACGGGUGAGUAACGCGUGAGGAACCUGCCUCAAAGAGGGGGACAACAGUUGGAAACGACUGCUAAUACCGCAUAAGCCCACGGCUCGGCAUCGAGCAGAGGGAAAAGGAGUAAUCCGCUUUGAGAUGGCCUCGCGUCCGAUUAGCUAGUUGGUGAGGUAACGGCCCACCAAGGCGACGAUCGGUAGCCGGACUGAGAGGUUGAACGGCCACAUUGGGACUGAGACACGGCCCAGACUCCUACGGGAGGCAGCAGUGGGGAAUAUUGCACAAUGGGGGAAACCCUGAUGCAGCGACGCCGCGUGGAGGAAGAAGGUCUUCGGAUUGUAAACUCCUGUUGUUGGGGAAGAUAAUGACGGUACC